CCAUAGCGGCUUUGUCUUGCUGUGGAGAGUUCCGCCCAGUCUGAACUUCCCAGCCUCCUUAACACUGUCAGGGGAAAACCACCUACUCAAGCCUCAGUAAUGAUGGAUGCCCCUCCCCCCAUCAAGCUUGAUUGUCCCAGGUUGACUUCAGACUGCUGUGCUGGCAGCGAGAAUUUCAAGCCAGUGGUUCUUAGCUUGCUGGGCUCUGUGGGAGAGGGACUUGCUGAGUGAGAUCACUUGGCUCCCUGGCUUCGGCACCUUUUCCAGGGGAGUGAGCGGUCCUGUCUCGCUGGGGUUCCAGAUGCCAUUGGGGUAUGAAAAAAAAAAAAACUGCAUCUAGCUUGGUGUCUGCCCAAGCAGCCUCUCAGUUUUGUGCUUGAAACCCAAGGCCCUGGUGGGGUGGGCACACGAGGGGAUCUCCUGGUCUGCGGGUUGUAAAAACUAUGGGAAAAGUGUAGCGUCUGGGCCAGAUAGCACAGUCCCUCACGGCUUCCCUUGGCUGGGGGAGGUAGGUUCCCAGCCCCUUGCACUCCUCGGGUGAGGUGAUGCCCCAACCUGCUUCUGCUCACCCUCCGUGGGCUGUACCCACUGCCUGACCAGUCCUAAUGAGAUGAACCGGGUACCUCAGUUGGAAAUGCAGAAAUCACCCUCCUGUGUUGGUCUCGCUGGGAGCUGCGACCGGAGCUGUUCCUAUUCAGCCAUCUUGCCAGAUCUUUCCUGAAGCUGAAUUAUUUUGCACCAAUUUCUUUGCCUGGUUGUCCACUUUCCCUAGAAAAGGGGAAGAACUUUGAGGACCUGUUAUGUGCUCCAGACCUGCUUUUAAUCUUCAUCAUAUAUUUGAGAUUGUUGUUAAUAGCCUCAUUCUUCAGAUGAGACAACUGAGAUGCAGCAAUGUACAUAGCAGGACUGCCUCUCCUAGCAUCCCUUGCAGCUAGGUGAAGUCAUGUGACUGCAUUCUGGCCAAUGGUGUGUGUGCAUAAAUCUUGCAUAUCCCUUCCAAGCAGACUCCUAAAGCCUCCUUUGAAAUUCUUCAUGCUUUGUUUUUUCCUUUAUCUGUCUCCUGAAUUUUGAGGACCAUCCGAAACCUUUGAAAUCCUAGAAGAUGGCACAGCCACCAGAUGAAAGAAGCCUGAUCCCUAACUAAUGUGUGGAGCUGAGUGGAGGGGAGCAAAAAUGAUGACCCUGGGCUGUGAUACAGCUCUGCAAGACUGGCCUUGAAAAAAAGAAAAGCCAGCAACAAUCAGUAGUGAGAAUGAAAAGAAGAAAAUGAGCCCAAGCAAGACACUGAACUCUAGACCAGGCUUCUCAACACAGCUGCACAUCAGCACCAGCUGAGGAGGCUUCCAAGGUCCCCACACCCAAGCUGCAGCAAAACCACUUAAAUGAGGAUGAAGUGGGUGAAAUCCAGAUUUCAAUAAUUGUUAAAACCCUCAGAUGAUUCCAGCAUAAAGACAGGUUUGAGAAUCUCUAUGCUAAAGGGAGCUAACUAGUCAAGGCAUCCACAUCUGACAUUUUGUAAGAACCAGAUGAUUAAACCUACCAAGAAGGGGAGAUCUUGAGUUAGUCAUUCACCAAAUAUUUAUUAAGCACUUCCUAAGAACAAGGCACCAUGCUCUGUGCUCGGGGGACCCAAGAUGAAACUCCCCAGGGUCUAUGUUGUCUGUACCCACAGUCUUGGUGGGGAAGAGUGGUAGAUAAAAAAAAUAACUGAGAAUAACUGUGGUCCUUCCUGAAAUGGGAGAUGUUGGGCAGGGGGUACAGACUUGCAGUUAUAAAAUGAAAAAGUUCUGGAGAUCUACUGCACAGCAUGGUGACUGUAGUUAAUUAUAUUAGUCCGUUCUCACACUGCUAUAAGGAACUGCAUGAAAUUGGGUAAUUUAUAAAGGAAAGAGGUUUAAUGGACUCACAGUUCAGCAUGAUGGAGGAGGCAUCAGGAAACUUACAAUCAUGGCAGACGGCAAAGGGGAAGCAAGGCACCUUUUUCACAAGGUGGCAGGAAGGAAAAAUUAACGCGAAAGGAACUACCAAACACUUACAAAACCAUCAGAUCUCCUGAGAACUCCCUCACUAUCAUGAGGACAGCAUGGGGGAAACCGCCCCCAUGAUCCAAUCACCUCCACCUGGUCUCUCUCUCUCGACACGUGUGGAUUAUGGGGAUUAUAAUUCAAGAUAAGAUUUGGGUGGAGACACAAAGCCUAACCAUAUUAAUAAUGUAUUGCAUACUUGAAAUUUGUUCUUACUAUACCUACAAAAAAAGGUAACUGUGAGGUGACUGACAUGUUAAUUCAUUCGAUUGUGGAAGGUAUUUCACAAUGUAUAUCAAAACAUAUACCUUGAAAUUAUAGGAUUUUUAUUUAUCAGUUAUACCCCAAUAAAGCUGAAAAAAGGACAUUGUGUGGGGUAUGGUGAUUCUGGUAUGGGAGAGCAUAUCAGGGAAUGAGGCUUAGGAGUAUGGAGUGUAUGGCAAAUUCUGUUUGUGCGUUUGGACCUAUCAGCCAUGGAGAGGGCACAUGUCUGAGAGUACUGUAAGCAUAGGAAACAUUAGUCCUUACCUUAUCCUCGAGGACCCAUACUGGGAAGGUGAACACACACAUACAUAAUCACACGCUCACAACACAUGCAUGUUCCCACUUAUUGAAAUCAGCCCAAAUGUAAUGCCCAA
rnacentral:lncRNA from 1 species